rnacentral:rRNA from 1 species
UACGUAGGUGGCGAGCGUUGUCCGGAUUUAUUGGGCGUAAAGCGAGCGCAGGUGGUUUAUUAAGUCUGGUGUAAAAGGCAGUGGCUCAACCAUUGUAUGCAUUGGAAACUGGUAGACUUGAGUGCAGGAGAGGAGAGUGGAAUUCCAUGUGUAGCGGUGAAAUGCGUAGAUAUAUGGAGGAACACCGGUGGCGAAAGCGGCUCUCUGGCCUGUAACUGACACUGAGGCUCGAAAGCGUGGGGAUCAAACAGG